rnacentral:rRNA from 1 species
GAUGAACGCUGGCGGCGUGCCUAAUACAUGCAAGUCGAGCGAAUGGAUUAAGAGCUUGCUCUUAUGAAGUUAGCGGCGGACGGGUGAGUAACACGUGGGUAACCUGCCCAUAAGACUGGGAUAACUCCGGGAAACCGGGGCUAAUACCGGAUAACAUUUUGAACCGCAUGGUUCGAAAUUGAAAGGCGGCUUCGGCUGUCACUUAUGGAUGGACCCGCGUCGCAUUAGCUAGUUGGGGAGGUAACGGCUCACCAAGGCAACGAUGCGUAGCCGACCUGAGAGGGUGAUCGGCCACGCUGGGACUGAGACACGGCCCAGACGCCUACGGGAGGCAGCAGUAGGGAAUCUUCCGCAAUGGACGAAAGUCUGACGGAGCAACGCCGCGUGAGUGAUGAAGGCUUUCGGGUCGUAAAACUCUGUUGUUAGGGAAGAACAAGUGCUAGUUGAAUAAGCUGGCACCUUGACGGUGCCUAACCAGAAAGCCACGGCUAACUACGUGCCAGCAGCCGCGGUAA